CGUGUAGGCGGAUUUUCUAGUCAGAUGUGAAAUCCGGUGGCUUAACCACCGGCCUGCAUCUGAUACUGUUAAUCUUGAGUACGGGAGAGGAAAGCGGAAUUCCAGGUGUAGCGGUGACAUGCGUAGAUAUCUGGAAGAACACCGGUGGCGAAGGCGGCUUUCUGGACCGAUACUGACGCUGAGGCGCGAAAGCUAGGGGAGCAAACAGGAUUAGAUACCCUGGUAGUCC
rnacentral:rRNA from 1 species